UACGUAGGGGGCGAGCGUUGUCCGGAUUUAUUGGGCGUAAAGAGCGUGUAGGCGGCCAGGUAGGUCUGCUGUGAAAACUCGAGGCUCAACCUCGAGACGUCGGCGGAAACCAUCUGGCUAGAGUCCGGAAGAGGAGAGUGGAAUUCCUGGUGUAGCGGUGAAAUGCGCAGAUAUCAGGAAGAACACCCGUGGCGAAGGCGGCGUCUCUGGGACGGUAC
rnacentral:rRNA from 1 species